GGCUGGUCCGAUGGCAGUGGGUUAUCAGAACUUACUAACAUUAGUGUCACUAAAGUUGGUAUACCACCCCCCCACUGCUAAAUUUGACUGGCUUAAA
ensembl:misc_RNA Y_RNA Y RNA